CUAUACCCUACCCUAUAGGUCAUUCUAGAACCUCUCUGCUCUCACUAUACCCUACCCUAUAGGUCAUUCUAGAUCCCCUCUGCUCUCACUAUACCCUACAGGUCAUUCUAGAACCUCUCUGCUCUAACUAUACCCUACCCUAUAGGCCAAGCGGAUAGACCAUGAACAGAUAGCAGGUGACUCUGCAAUGGGUCUGGACUGGACCUAGUCUUGACACUCAGGA